GCGGGAGUAGCUCAGUUGGCAGAGCGCGACCUUCCCAAGGUCGAUGUCGCGAGUUCGAGUCUCGUCUCCCGCUCCA
rnacentral:tRNA from 1 species